AUUUGGAGAGGAUGCUUCUGGCGCGGCGCCGUCCGAGUUCCUUGGAACAGGACGCCACAGAGGGUGAGAGCCCCGUACGGACGGACGCCUAGCCUCUACGAAGCUCCUUCGACGAGUCGAGUAGUUUGGGAAUGCUGCUCAAAAUGGGAGGUAAAUUUCUUCUAAAGCUAAAUACCGGCCAGAGACCGAUAGCGCACAAGUAGAGUGAUCGAAAGAUGAAAAGCACUUUGAAAAGAGGGUUAAAAAGUACGUGAAAUUGUUGAAAGGGAAGCGCCUGUGACCAGACUUGCGCCUCGCGGACCACCCGGCGUUCUCGCCGGUGCACUCUGCGUGGCGCAGGCCAGCAUCGGUUCUCCCAGGGGGACAAAGGCCGCGGGAACGUAGCUCCUUCGGGAGUGUUAUAGCCCGCGGCGGCAUGCCCCUGGGGGGACCGAGGACCGCGCUUCGGCAAGGAUGCUGGCGUAAUGGUCACCAGCGACCCGUCUUGAAACACGGACCAAGGAGUCAAGCAUUGGGGCGAGUGUAUGGGUGCCAAACCCGCACGCGAAAUGAAAGUAAACGCAGGUGAGAGCUUCGGCGCAUCAUCGACCGAUCCUGAUGUCUUCGGAUGGAUUUGAGUAAGAGCCUUACCGCUUGGACCCGAAAGAUGGUGAACUAUGCCUGAAUAGGGUGAAGCCAGAGGAAACUCUGGUGGAGG
rnacentral:rRNA from 1 species